AUUGAGAUACUAAAAAAAAAUAGAAACAUGGAUUAUGAAUCAAGGGUCAUGCAGAAAAAUAUACCAAACUGAGUCCUUUUACUGUUUUGCAAACUAUCUUUACUAACUGCCUCUCAAAAAAAUGCAAUUUAAUGUCAAGGCAAAAUCAUGUAGAAGAGUAUUAAGUGAAGACUAAAAAGCUAAUAUUUCUAAAUUUACCAAUCAACGGGAGUCAUUCUUGUGUAUGUUAAAAGCGCAAAUCGAU
rnacentral:lncRNA from 1 species